rnacentral:rRNA from 1 species
GACGAACGCUGGCGGCGUGCUUAACACAUGCAAGUCGAACGGAAAGGCCCUGCUUUUGUGGGGUGCUCGAGUGGCGAACGGGUGAGUAACACGUGAGUAACCUGCCCUUGACUUUGGGAUAACUUCAGGAAACUGGGGCUAAUACCGGCUAGGAGCUCCUGCUGCAUGGUGGGGGUUGGAAAGUUUCGGCGGUUGGGGAUGGACUCGCGGCUUAUCAGCUUGUUGGUUGGGUAGUGGCUUACCAAGGCUUUGACGGGUAGCCGGCCUGCGAGGGUGACCGGACACAUUGGGACGGAGAUACGGCACAGACUCCUACGGGAGGCAGGAGUGGGGAAUAUUGCACAAUGGGAGGAAGCCUGAUGCAGCAACGCCGCGUGCGGGAUGACGGCCUUCGGGUUGUAAACCGCUUUCGCCUGUGACGAAGCGUGAGUGACGGUAAUGGGUAAAGAAGCACCGGCUAACUACGUG